UACAGAGGGUGCAAGCGUUGCUCGGAUUUACUGGGCGUAAAGCGUACGCAGACGGACCGCCAAGUCGGGAGUGAAAGCCCUGGGCUCAACCCAGGAACGGCUUUCGAUACUAGCGGUCUUGAGUUUGGGAGAGGGAAGCGGAAUUCCUGGUGUAGAGGUGAAAUUCGUAGAUAUCAGGAGGAACACCGGCGGCGAAGGCGGCUUCCUGGCCCAAUACUGACGUUCAGGUACGAAAGCGUGGGUAGCAAACAGG
rnacentral:rRNA from 1 species